CUCUCUCUCCGAAGCGCUCUCUACAGAGGCACAACAAACAGGCCGGGAGGAGGGACGGGAGGCCAGGAGAGCUCCACGUUCCGUGAAACCUUUGCAGGAAAACCCAGGAAGCAGGGUUAUUUGUCCUUAUUUCAUAAACAAAGAAAUGGAGCCCCUGAGAGCCACAGUGACAUGCCUGAGAGCAUCAACCUGGGCGGCGUCCAGGAUGGGCUCAAACCCAGGGGGAAGUUGAUCCCACAGCCACGGAAAUAGCCAGAUACUCCUCUGGCCUUCCCUCCCACCCUGAGGGAGACACCCGGAGGAGCAGAUCCCCAGGGAAUUCAGAACAGCUGCCACGGAACCUCCCCUGAAACUGCAGGGGCAUUCCCGGCAUGCCUACUCAACAGCCUGAGGAGGGCACCAGCUGAGAGACAGAAUUUUUGGAAGAACUUAGGAAAGAAACUAAGAAAAGACAACAGCACACAGCAACAAGCAGUCAUCCGGGCCUCUCAUGUCACCGAGAACAUUAUGGUGGGCGCCUGUGAGCUCUUCCUGACCACCCAAGACUUCUAGGAUGCUUU
rnacentral:lncRNA from 1 species